rnacentral:rRNA from 1 species
UAAGGUCACGGCAAGACGAGCCGUUUACGUUUAUCAUCACGAUAGGUGCUAAGUGGAGGUACAGUAAUGUAUGCAGCUGAGGCAUCCUAACAGACCGAGAGGUUUGAAC